rnacentral:rRNA from 1 species
ACGCUCGACACCUACGAGAGGCAGCAGUGGGGAAUAUUGCACAAUGGGGGAAACCCUGAUGCAGCGACGCCGCGUGAGUGAAGAAGUAUUUCGGUAUGUAAAGCUCUAUCAGCAGGGAAGAAAAUGACGGUACCUGACUAAGAAGCCCCGGCUAACUACGUGCCAGCAGCCGCGGUAAUCUGAGCGGGCUGGCAAGGC